rnacentral:rRNA from 1 species
GUCGCCUCCUAAAAGGUAACGGAGGCGCUCAAAGGUUCCCUCAGAAUGGUUGGAAAUCAUUCAUAGAGUGUAAAGGCAUAAGGGAGCUUGACUGCGAGACCUACAAGUCGAGCAGGGUCGAAAGACGGACUUAGUGAUCCGGUGGUUCCGCAUGGAAGGGCCAUCGCUCAACGGAUAAAAGCUACCCCGGGGAUAACAGGCUUAUCUCCCCCAAGAGUUCACAUCGACGGGGAGGUUUGGCACCUCGAUGUCGGCUCAUCGCAUCCUGGGGCUGUAGUCGGUCCCAAGGGUUGGGCUGUUCGCCCAUUAAAGCGGUACGCGAGCUGGGUUCAGAACGUCGUGAGACAGUUCGGUCCCUAUCCGUCGUGGGCGUAGGAAAUUUGAGAGGAGCUGUCCUUAGUACGAGAGGACCGGGAUGGACAUACCUCUGGUGUACCAGUUGUCGUGCCAACGGCAUAGCUGGGUAGCUAUGUGUGGACGGGAUAAGUGCUGAAAGCAUCUAAGCAUGAAGCCCCCCUCAAGAUGAGAUUUCCCAACUUCGGUUAUAAGAUCCCUCAAAGAUGAUGAGGUUAAUAGGUUCGAGGUGGAAGCA